AUUGAACGCUGGCGGCAGGUCUAACACAUGCAAGUCGAACGGUAACAGGAAACAGCUUGCUGUUUCGCUGACGAGUGGCGGACGGGUGAGUAAUGUCUGGGAAACUGCCUGAUGGAGGGGGAUAACUACUGGAAACGGUAGCUAAUACCGCAUAACGUCGCAAGACCAAAGAGGGGGACCCUCGGGCCUCUUGCCAUCGGAUGUGCCCAGAUGGGAUUAGCUUGUUGGUGGGGUAACGGCUCACCAAGGCGACGAUCCCUAGCUGGUCUGAGAGGAUGACCAGCCACACUGGAGCUGAGACACGGUCCAGACUCCUACGGGAGGCAGCAGUGGGGAAUAUUGCACAAUGGGCGCAAGCCUGAUGCAGCCAUGCCGCGUGUAUGAAGAAGGCCUUCGGGUUGUAAAGUACUUUCAGCGGGGAGGAAGGGAGUAAAGUUAAUACCUUUGCUCAUUGACGUUACCCGCAGAAGAAGCACCGGCUAACUCCGUGCCAGCAGCCGCGGUAAUACGGAGGGUGCAAGCGUUAAUCGGAAUUACUGGGCGUAAAGCGCACGCAGGCGGUUUGUUAAGUCAGAUGUGAAAUCCCCGGGCUCAACCUGGGAACUGCAUCUGAUACUGGCAAGCUUGAGUCUCGUAGAGGGGGGUAGAAUUCCAGGUGUAGCGGUGAAAUGCGUAGAGAUCUGGAGGAAUACCGGUGGCGAAGGCGGCCCCCUGGACGAAGACUGACGCUCAGGUGCGAAAGCGUGGGGAGCAAACA
rnacentral:rRNA from 1 species